rnacentral:rRNA from 1 species
GCUUACGGCCACACCGGGCCUGAGUACGCCUUGAUCUCGUCCGAUCUCGGACGCUAAGCAGGGUCGGGCCUGUUAGUACUUGGAUGGGAGACCGCCCUGGGAAUACCAGGUGCUGUAAGCU